GUGCUUGCUUCGGCAGCACAUGUACUAAAAUGGGAUGAUAUAGAGAUUAACAGGGCCCCUACACAAGGACGACACACAAAUUCCUGAAGCGUUCCAUAUUUUU